CGAUGAUAGCUUGCUAUCAGGCGUCGAGCGGCGGACGGGUGAGUAAUACUUAGGAAUCUACCUAGUAGUGGGGGAUAGCACGGGGAAACUCGUAUUAAUACCGCAUACGACCUACGGGAGAAAGGGGGCAGUUUACUGCUCUCGCUAUUAGAUGAGCCUAAGUCGGAUUAGCUAGAUGGUGGGGUAAAGGCCUACCAUGGCGACGAUCUGUAGCUGGUCUGAGAGGAUGAUCAGCCACACCGGGACUGAGACACGGCCCGGACUCCUACGGGAGGCAGCAGUGGGGAAUAUUGGACAAUGGGCGAAAGCCUGAUCCAGCCAUGCCGCGUGUGUGAAGAAGGCCUUUUGGUUGUAAAGCACUUUAAGCAGUGAAGAAGACUCCGUGGUUAAUACCCACGGACGAUGACAUUAGCUGCAGAAUAAGCACCGGCUAACUCUGUGC
rnacentral:rRNA from 1 species